UCUGCCUCCCAGGUUCAAGCAAUUCUCCUGCCUCAGCCUCCCAAGUAGCUAGAAUUACAGGCGCCUGCUACCACGCUUUGCUACUUUUUUGUAUUUUUAGUAGAGACGGGGUUUCACCAUGUUUGUUAGGCUGGUGUCGAACUCCUGACCUCACGUGAUCCAUCCGCCUUGGCCCCCCAAAGUGCUGGGAUUACAGGCGUGAGCCACCGGCCUGUAGUUUUAAAUUUACUAAUGUUAAAACUAAAGUUUUAAAACCCGGCCUGUAGUUUUAAAUUUACUAAUGUCAUCAUGUACCCACUGUGUGUCAGGAGCAAUUCUGCUAUCUGCUUGUGUAUACAUCUUGUAUCCUUGUUUGACGUAAAAAGAAACGCGAGGGAGCUUGGAAGACGUGUCCAAGGUGAAAGAGCUGGGAAGCAGCAGAGCUCAGAUUUGACCCCAGGCUACCUGACUAUCUGACCUUCAGCCUCCCAAGAGCUGUACUUUUCUAUACUCCUGCUCUCUCCUUUCCAGGUUCCCUCUGCACCUCACGCAGCUCAGCACACUCCUCAGUGUGUGGCACUUCAUCAAUAUUGGUCUAUGCAAACCUUUUGUCUUUUAGUUUUAUUUCUUUCCCUUCAUUCCCAGUCCCCUGCCUACUUUCCUUUUUCCCAGGGGCACCCAUCCAAUUUUAAUGUUUUGAUACAUAUGCUCGAAAAGCUAAAGCAUUGUUCUGCAUAUGUGUGCAUUUUAAAUGUCCAUAAAUGGCAUUGAAGCUGUGAAUCAGUUUCUGUUGCAUUGUGUUUUUUUAAUUCAGCACUUUUUUUCAAGAUCUAUUCAUGCUGCUCCAAGUACAUCUAGUUCUUUGCUUCUAACAGCUGCAGAGAAAUCUGCGGUGUUCAUUCACCAUAUUUUGUUCAUACAUUCCCCUGAGGUUGGAGACCUAGAUUGCCUUCCAGUUCCUGCCCCUACAAACCGUGUCACCAUGAGCAUCCUGGUACAUGCUCCCUUCUGAUUCUGUGCCAGUCUCCUGUCAUUGUAGCUGGGAGUAGAAUUGCUGGAUAACAGGACACCUGCAAACGGCGUUUUAGUAAAUAUCAUCUAAUUGCUCUCCCGAAUGGUUAUAAUACUUUAUCCUCAUAAUGAGCAGUGCAUAAGAGAUUACAUUUCUGCAUGUCCUCAUCAAGACAUGGCAUCAUCCAGCUUUCUAAUUUUGCCAAUCCAAUGAGUGUAGCGUGAUCUCAUUUUCAUUUGCAUGCCUCUGAUUACUAAUGAGGUUCAGCAUCUUUUCAUAUACUCACUAGUGUUUUUUUGUUUCCCUUCCUGUGAAUUGCUUAUUCAUGUUCUUUACCAGAUUUUCUGCUUUUUUCUUUUUCAUGUUGCUUAGCAGGAGAUCCUUGCAUAUUUUAGUUUAGUUCCUAGGGAUAAUUAAGCCCUACUGCAUAUGGGUAUGUCUUAUACAUUCCCUAGGGCAUGGAUUAUAUACAUAACAAAUUAACCUCUAAGCCUGUAGCAUGGGACUAUUUACCUACUGUUCUCAGCAAAGUUCAGAAAACACUCAAAUUAUUUGCUGUUUUUUUGUUUUUGUUUUUGUUUUUCUUUUUUUGAGGUGGAGUCUUGCUCUGUCGCCCAGGGUGGAGUGCAGUGGCGCGAUCUUACCUCACUGCAACCUCCCUCUCUGGGGUUCAAGUGAUUCUCCUGCCUCAGCUUUCCGGGUAGCUGGGACUACAUGUGUGCACUACAAUGCCUGGCUAAUUUUAUCAUAUUUUUGGUAGAGAUGGAGUUUCGCCAUGUUGGCCAGGCUGGUCUCGAACUCCUGACCUCAAGUGAUCCACCUGCCUUGGCCUCCCAAAGUGCUGGGAUUCAGGCGUGAGCCACCGUGCCUGGCCAUAUUUGCUGGUUUUUGAGAUUCAGAUGAGGAACUUCAGUUGAAAAAGUCUGUUCUAGAUAAAAAUUUCUAGUCAAUGUAGAUAUCGCCAAUAUUUUUUCUUAGAAUGUCACCCACUUGUGGCAUCUAGCAUUGAAUGGAAAUCCUUGAUUUUUUAAAAUUACAAAUAACCAUUGAUUAUUUUAAAGCAGUAUUUAUUAAUUGUAGAAAUUUCAGAAACACAAAUAAUCUAAAAAAUAAAAGCACCAAAUAUUCUUCCAGGUCGUUUCCUGUGUGAGAGUAUGUGUGUGUGUGUGUGUUUGCUUGCCAAAAUACAAUCGUGUUGUAUGAAAUGUUUUAUAAUCUGUUUUUUGUUGUUGUUAAUAAUUGCCAUCUUUACAUGUCAAUAAAUUUUUAUUUAAUAUCC
rnacentral:lncRNA from 1 species